CCUCCCCGGCGAAAUGGGGUCUGGUGUACAGCCUUUGAUGUCGCUGUGUGCCGCGUAGCCAGAAAUCGGCUAUCUAAAGACCGGAUUUUGUUUCUUAAACGCUUCACUAAAGACGAGACUGGUAUGCACGCAAUGCAAUCCUAUCUCAAUAGCUUCUCUUGUUUCGUAGAGAACAACUCGAAGACUACAGCUAGAGUCGUUGCUGUUUGUGAAAUCUGCAUGUCUACGGCAGCGACUAAACGCGGCCGCGGGGACGUCGACGUCGACAGGCUUCGAUUUCAUGCAGCCAUGAUCGACGUCGUACGAUCUAGCGUUGUGCGCUCGUGUCACAACGGAGACUGAAUGCGAACGUACUGGAUGGAUGCGAACGUACUCAGUGCUGUUUGCUGUUUUUUGACGUCUAAAGCGACCGCAGACAGUCCGGAGUGAGCGAUAUCUGGAAGAGCUUGGAGUUGCAUGACGUCAUCGAAACAAGAUGAGUCGUCUUUCUGUGUUUGGGUAAUCAUUUCAUGUGUUUUGUGCUUUGCUUUGGUGAACACAUACAGUAGCAACCAGGAAGAGACCACGUUGACAGAAAUCCUGGACGUCCCAAGGUGGUACAGAUUCGAUGUGUUGUUUGGAAGGGGUUGCUGUAAAACGCAGACUGCAGACUACGCAGACUGCAGACUACGCAGACUGCAGACUACGCAGACUGCAGACUACGCAGACUGCAGACUACGCAGACUGCAGACUACGCAGACUGCAGACUGCAGACUACGGAAUGGGGACUUGCAGACUACGGAAUGGGGACUUUGGCGCUUUCGAAGAUCAAAGACAUGCGCACAUUCUUAUAAACAUACCUUCACGUGCUAAUGUUUCCGGACUUGCCUCAUGACAUCGUCAUGUUCAGUGAAACAGCACGGCUAAGCCUCUUCGAAGCCGCUUCUAUCUCCAUCUGUGCGAGCACGUACGUCGUCUGGAUCUACGUCGAUCACAUGCGCGACAACUAGAUAGUGAAACCAGGCGACCAACGCAUUAGACAGCCUACUGUUUCUCCAUCAGAGUCUGUUUGUAAAAUGUUUCUGUUCAUAUUGUGUGUGGUGAAGCGAUAGUUGGAAGCACGAGUUGAAGAAUGGACGAUAGGGCGGUCUCCUUGAAAGAAAGGCAGUGACGUGUUGUCUUCUAUCAUAUUUAUCUUUGUGCUUCCGUCUUCGGUCUUUAGAUGUUAGGAGAUAAAGCAGGUGUACUGCUUUCGACCAACGUAUGUUGCAGCGCAUCGCAAUCGACUAGAGGAGAUAUAUGUAUGGAUUCAGAUAGGCUCUUUAUUGCGCAUGUAUCAGACAAUGAAGAUGCAUGCCAGGACAGCAGUGUGAAGAUCAUGGAACUUGCUGACAAGGUGAAAACUUCCUUUGCCUUGGAGACGAUCACAUCCAUCUGAGGCUCAUGUCUUGUUUCUGCAAUUUAUUGAUGUACUGCUGCAAGUGGCAAUUGCUGAUUGAGCUGACUCAUGUGCCUUCUAAUAUCAUGUGCCUUCUAAUCUUUCUAGGGGAGUUGAUUUCAUAGAAGUUGUAGCUCAUCUGGGCGAUACAGCUAGUCAGCAAGAUCAAAAUUAUGUGGGCAAAACAACAAGUCACAUACCAAACCACAGCUACUACUAAUUGGAGCACUUUCUUCACUUGACUGUGGCUGGAUCAGGUGUGGAAUGUUUAAACUCAUAUGAUAUCUAACUUGGAUUGAUGAACAGAAUAGGGAUUGGGCGGUGGUUAUCUUUUACUCACAUCGUUGUAUCUAUACUCUAUGUGCGUUUACUUGUUCUGUAUAUAAAGUAUGUAUCAAGUAGCUGAAAACCGA